rnacentral:rRNA from 1 species
UACGGGGGGGGCAAGCGUUGUUCGGAAUUACUGGGCGUAAAGGGCCAGUAGGCGGCCAACUAAGUCCGACGUGAAAUCCCCAGGCUUAACCUGGGAACUGCGUCGGAUACUGGAUGGCUUGAAUUCGGGAGAGGGAUGCAGAAUUCCAGGUGUAGCGGUGAAAUGCGUAGAUAUCUGGAGGAAUACCGGUGGCGAAGGCAGCUCGCUGGGACGGUACUGACGCUGAGGCGCGAAAGCGUGGGGAGCAAACAGG